rnacentral:rRNA from 1 species
GACGAACGCUGGCGGCGUGCUUAACACAUGCAAGUCGAACGGAAAGGCCCUGCUUGCAGGGUGCUCGAGUGGCGAACGGGUGAGUAACACGUGGGUGAUCUGCCCCUUACUUUGGGAUAAGCCUGGGAAACUGGGUCUAAUACUGGAUAGGACCAUGCUGUAGGUGGUGUGGUGGAAAGAUUAGUUUCGGUAAGGGAUGAGCUCGCGGCCUAUCAGCUUGUUGGUGGGGGAAUGGCCUACCAAGGCGUCGACGGGUAGCUGGCCUGAGAGGGUGGACGGCCACAUUGGGACUGAGAUACGGCCCAGACUCCUACGGGAGGCAGCAGUGGGGAAUAUUGCACAAUGGGCGCAAGCCUGAUGCAGCGACGCCGCGUGGGGGAUGACGGCCUUCGGGUUGUAAACUCCUUUCAGCCAUGACGAAGCCCUUGUGGUGACGGUAGUGGUAGAAGAAGCACCGGCUAACUACGUG